rnacentral:rRNA from 1 species
AGCAGCCGCGGUAAUUCCAGCUCCAAUAGCGUAUAUUAAAGUUGUUGCAGUUAAAAAGCUCGUAGUUGAAUUUCGGGGUCAGUAGGUCGGUCGUGCCACUGGUAUGAACUGGUUUUACUGAUUCCUCCCUCUUGAAGAACUGUAAUGCCAUUAAUUUGGUGUUGCAGGGAAUCAGGACUGUUACUUUGAAAAAUUAGAGUGUUUAAAGCAGGCUUUAGCUUGAAUACAUUAGCAUGGAAUAAUGAAAUAGGACGUUUGAUCCUAUUUUGUUGGUUUCUAGGAUUGACGUAAUGAUUAAUAGGGAUAGUUGGGGGCAUUAGUAUUCAAUUGUCAGAGGUGAAAUUCUUGGAUUUAUUGAAGACUAACUACUGCGAAAGCAUUUGCCAAGGAUGUUUUCAUUAAUCAAGAACGAAAGUUAGGGGACCGAAGACGAUCAGAUACUGUCGUAGUCUUAACCAUAAACUAUGCCGACUAGGGAUCGGAUGAUGUUAAUUUUUAAUGUACUCAUUCGGCGUCCGUU